rnacentral:rRNA from 1 species
UUGCCUACGGAGGCUGCAGUGGGGAAUAUUGGACAAUGGGCGCAAGCCUGAUCCAGCCAUGCCGCGUGAGUGAUGAAGGCCUUAGGGUUGUAAAGCUCUUUCGCCGGUGAAGAUAAUGACGGUAACCGGAGAAGAAGCCCCGGCUAACUUCGUGCCAGCAGCCGCGGUAAUACGAAGGGGGCUAGCGUUGCUCGGAAUCACUGGGCGUAAAGCGCACGUAGGCGGAUCGUUAAGUCAGGGGUGAAAUCCUGGAGCUCAACUCCAGAACUGCCCUUGAUACUGGCGAUCUCGAGUUCGAGAGAGGUUGGUGGAACUCCGAGUGUAGAGGUGAAAUUCGUAGAUAUUCGGAAGAACACCAGUGGCGAAGGCGGCCAACUGGCUCGAUACUGACGCUGAGGUGCGAAAGCGUGGGGAGCAAACAGGAUUAGAUACCCGGGUAGUCG